UACGUGAGGGGGCAAGCGUUGUCCGGAUUCAUUGGGCGUAAAGAGCGUGUAGGCGGCCAGGUAGGUCGGUUGUGAAAACUAGAGGCUUAACCUCUAGACGUCGAUGGAAACCGUCUGGCUAGAGUCCGGAAGAGGAGAAUGGAAUUCCUGGUGUAGCGGUGAAAUGCGCAGAUAUCAGGAAGAACACCCGUGGCUAAGGCGGUUCUCUAGUACGGUACUGACGCUGAGACGCGAAAGCGUGGGGAGCGAACAGG
rnacentral:rRNA from 1 species